GACGAACGCUGGCGGCAUGCCUAAUACAUGCAAGUCGAGCGAACAGAUGAAGUGCUUGCACUUCUGACGUUAGCGGCGAACGGGUGAGUAACACGUAAGGAAUCUACCUAUAAGCGGGGGAUAACAUUCGGAAACGGGUGCUAAUACCGCAUAAUAUCUUCUUCCGCAUGGAAGAAGAUUGAAAGACGGCUCUGCUGUCACUUAUAGAUGACCUUGCGGUGCAUUAGUUAGUUGGUGGGUUAAUGGCCUACCAAGACGAUGAUGCAUAGCCUACCUGAGAGGGUGAUCGGCCACAUUGGGACUGAGACACGGCCCAAACUCCUACGGGAGGCAGCAGUAGGGAAUCUUCCGCAAUGGGCGAAAGCCUGACGGAGCAAUGCCGCGUGAGUGAAGAAGGCCUUCGGGUCGUAAAACUCUGUUAUAAGAGAAGAACAAAUUGUAGAGUAACUGCUACAGUCUUGACGGUAUCUUAUCAGAAAGCCACGGCUAACUACGUGCCAGCAGCCGCUGUAA
rnacentral:rRNA from 1 species